UCAGUAGUGUAGCUUAUUUAAUUUUAUGUAUUUGGAAAGAGAAGUUCGUUCUGUGGAUGCUUUCUUGGAUCCUUCCUGUCCUCUACUAAAUGUCUUUAUGAUUAUCUACCAACUCUGUAUUUUUAACUGGUUAAUAUCGAAUGAAAUGGCCGGGUCGAAAUUGAGUACUCUUGUAGAUUACAGUGAAUAACAGUACCUGGUACAUUAUCGAAUUGAUAUAUCGGAUCUCAGUAGGGUCUCCCCAUGAUCCUUUCCUUUUGCAACACAAUGCUUGCCUGCAUUAACAAGAGUGGUAGGCCUAGAUAGAUGGAAAUUCUAUAAUGCAUAGGGUUAAUUCUAUAAUUUUGACGAAAGUAGGGGGGGGGUCAUAAUUGGUAGUAUUGAUAGUAUUGAAAAGUCUCACAACAGGAUGUACCAAGAUUAAUUGCUGGUUUUUCAACCAUAUGCUAGCGAUAGUGCGCAGCAGUGGUUGUUGAAUGAUUGUGGUUGAUGAAUCUUUUUGUUCCAAAAUUUGUUUUAUUGAUUCUAAAUUGGCUGCUAGUGCUACAAUUAAUUUUGCACAGGAUGUUGAAAAUACUCCAAAAACUGCAAACCAUUCCAUUACAUGUCUGUCUGUGACACUGUGACAGACAAGCCGCUGAGAAGGGGUGGUGCUUUUGGACUACAACGUUUUUUGUGUCCAUUUUGUGGGAGUUGAUGGUGACCUAGGUUUUUUUCUUUUUUUUGUAGAAUUGAAUCCUGAUCAAACCAAGAAUUACUCUAUGGAAGCAUGUCAGUAUUGACUGGCUGGCCUGUUGUCAUCAAUUACUAGUACUUAGUAUACGUAAUACCACCAGAUUAAGCUUAAAGUAUGGCAACCUUCAUUUUUGCAUGAUUUUCAUUUCAUUUAGGACUACAUCUAUUUUCAGAUGAAGGCAUUGAUGAGGAGGCAUUUUGUAUGUUGGACGAUGAAAUAAUAAAGGAGCUGAUUCCAAAAAUUGGUACCAGAAUGAAGUUUGCAAGGAAGUACCGCAAUCUACUACUAUGUAAUAGUCAUGAUAGUAGUCUUGGGGUAAGGAUACCAGUGUUGAAGAUGAUGUUAAUGAUGAAAGUGUUGUGGAACAGAGUGUAGUUGCAAUGCAACUUCUACCGAUCAUGCUGCCCCCCAGGCCAACAAAAGGUCAUAGACCAUCCGUGACUGAGGCAAUGUCGUCGUUCAUACAGUUCAAGCAGGUGACAACAAAUAUCCCCUCAUUCCUUCAGGACCUCCCAAGUGGAGCUGUGCAGCCCUUCGUGUUGGCUCUUGGGGAUAGAACCUCUCCAACUCAGGCAUUUCUUAUCAUUGAGGUGAACGCUUUAGAAUAUCCGACACUGCUGAAAGCCGUUGAGGCCUGUUUUAGGCUUUGUAUGUUCCUGACUUAGAAUAUCCUACUGGACUGCAUUAUUGUGUGGCAAUUCAUUGAGGACUUUGGUGAUCUCUGAUGAAUUUCUGUUGUAAAUACAUGUAGAUGUUAAUCAGACUAAAUCUGCUAGAGUAUAAAGAGGAAGAUCCUUUGAUAUUUGCAAAGGUCUGGGCAUUUAUAGUGUGAGGAUACAUGUAUCUUGGGAUUACCGUAUAGGGGCAAUGUAUCAAGGGGUUAUUCUCCUGAAACAGUUUUACUGUUUUCAAAUUGAAUGAAUGUGAGUAAUGAAUUGUUAACUUAAUUGAUAGAUUUCUGCUUAGAUGCAAUUUGAAUGUCAUGAAUUGAAAACUAUAGUUAAUGAUAAAUUUAUGUUGCAAAUACAUGUAGAUGUAAUCAGACUAAAUCUGCUGACUUCUACUUUAGAUUCAAUUUGAAUGUAUGAAUUGAAAACUAUAGUUAAUGAUAAAUUUAUGUUGUAAAUACAUGUAGAUGUUAAUCGGACUAAAUCUGCUAGAGUAUAAAGAGGAAGAUCCUAUGAUAUUUGCAAAGAUCUGGCCAUUUAUAGUGUGAGUAUAUCUUGGGAUUACUGUAUAGGGGGCAAUGUAUCAAGGGGUUAUUGUACUGAAAACGUUUUACUGCUUUCAAAUUGAAUGAAUGUGAAAUGAAUUGUUAACUUAAUUGUCAUUGAUAGAUUUCUACUUUAAAUGCCAGUCACAAAUUUGAAUGUAAUGAAUUGAAAACUAUAGUUAAUGAUAAAUUUCUGUUGUAAAUACAUGU